GGCCCCUCGGAACCCCGGCACCAGGCAGCGGGCGAGGCGUAGGGGGUCCCCGCGAGCGCCGCCCUCUGGCCCAGAGCCCUGCCUUCCCGCCCCCCUUCCGAGAGAUUGUGGGGGCAAGCGGCCCCUAUCAGCCUCCCCAGCCCUGGCCCAGAAAGGACAACACGGGAGAUCCCCAGAAAUGGGACUCAAAACAGGGCGGGUGAAUGCCCCACCCAUGCCCCACCCUCCCUCCUGUGCACUCUGCCCACACCCCUCCCAUUCCCUCACUAGGGCCUCGAACUGGGCGCCCUGCCUUCCAGAGGAUGAGCGAGGGAGGGAACCAACGAUGCAGAGUUCCACUGCUGGGGCGUCUGUCCACAUUGCCAACCCAGCCGAUUUAAACCUUUCCACCCUCGUGGGAGAAGAGGGGCUGUCACAGUGAGAGAUGGUCCAGGCGUUCGUGGCCUCCAAUGCGCGGCUGGGCCCAUCUGCUCCCCAUCACCCACCUGUCUCCCUCCAGGCAGGGCUCUUCUUCACAGUGAGAACAUGGAGGAGGAACUGGGAACCGUCCUUUGCAAUAAUAAUUAGGAAUGAAACAAAAGGAGAUUUAUCUCAGGAACUAAAAGGACAACUGAACACACAUAGCUAAUUUUGCUCCCUCUGAAAACCCUACUAAAACUACCAAAAGACAUUCUGUAAAGCCGUAAACCACCAAGGACCUGGAGAUUAGGGAAACAACAAAAUGUGGACAAAAUGUGGCCCAAGAAGGCAAAUGGACAAGGGAUGCCCGGCCUCUGGCCUCGUGGAGCUGAGUCCUAAUCCCGCCGUGGGUGAAGCCAAAAAAGAGAACCUCCAGAGGCCAGCCGAGUGGCUCAGUUGGUUAAGAGCGAGCGCUGAGCAACAGGGUCACCGGUUCGAUUCCC